rnacentral:tRNA from 2 species
GGAGAGAUGCCAGAGCGGUUGAAUGGGGCGGUCUCGAAAACCGUUGUACCCGCGAGGGUACCGAGGGUUCGAAUCCCUCUCUCUCCGCCA